CCCAGUUAUUCUGUAACGGUUUAACAAUCUGCAUCUACAACUCUCACUGUCCUCUCAAUCAGUUGUCCAAAAAAAAAAAAAAAUAUUUAGAACAUUCUAACGCAACUUCCACCCCGUGCCGAGGACGACCCCUGUGACCCCUGUGACCCCUGUGAGGAAACGUUUGUUUUUGACGGAUAACAAAGACACAAGUGUGGCCUGGGAGAUUCCGUAUCAGAGGAGUCGCCACCUGGAAAAUGAGAUGCUAACACGAGAAAUCACCCUCCUGAGAGAGGAAAUAUAGACAAUUAAAAAAUACCAGUCCAUGUACUUCCGCCCUCUGAAAAAGUAAAGCGGGGGCGGAAGAAAACUUAUUUCCAUUUGGAAAUAAAAAUUGUGAA